CCUACGGGAGGCAGCAGUGGGGAAUAUUGCACAAUGGGCGCAAGCCUGAUGCAGCCAUGCCGCGUGUGUGAAGAAGGCCUUCGGGUUGUAAAGCACUUUCAGCGGGGAGGAAGGCGUUAAGGUUAAUAACCUUGGCGAUUGACGUUACCCGCAGAAGAAGCACCGGCUAACUCCGUGCCAGCAGCCGCGGUAAUACGGAGGGUGUAAGCGUUAAUCGGAAUUACUGGGCGUAAAGCGCACGCAGGCGGUCUGUUAAGUCGGAUGUGAAAUCCCCGGGCUCAACCUGGGAACUGCAUUCGAAACUGGCAGGCUAGAGUCGUGUAGAGGGGGGUAGAAUUCCCGGUGUAGCGGUGAAAUGCGUAGAGAUCGGGAGGAAUACCGGUGGCGAAGGCGGCCCCCUGGACAAAGACUGACGCUCAGGUGCGAAAGCGUGGGGAGCAAACAGGAUUAGAUACCCCAGUAGUC
rnacentral:rRNA from 1 species